GACGAACGCUGGCGGCGUGCCUAAUACAUGCAAGUCGAACGAAGCUGUUUUAACAGGUGCUUGCACCGACUUAAACAACUGAGUGGCGAACGGGUGAGUAACACGUGGGUAACCUGCCCCAAAGCGGGGGAUAACAUUUGGAAACAGAUGCUAAUACCGCAUAACCACAGAAACCACAUGGUUUCUGUGUCAAAGAUGGUUUCGGCUAUCACUUUGGGAUGGACCCGCGGCGUAUUAGCUAGUUGGUAAGGUAAUGGCUUACCAAGGCAAUGAUACGUAGCCGAACUGAGAGGUUGAUCGGCCACAUUGGGACUGAGACACGGCCCAAACUCCUACGGGAGGCAGCAGUAGGGGAUCUUCCACAAUGGACGAAAGUCUGAUGGAGCAACGCCGCGUGAGUGAAGAAGGUUUUCGGAUCGUAAAACUCUGUUGUCAGAGAAGAACGUGUGCGAGAGUAACUGCUCGUGCAGUGACGGUAUCUGGCCAGAAAGCCACGGCUAACUACGUGCCAGCCGCCGCGGUAA
rnacentral:rRNA from 1 species